CCUACGGGAGACUGCAGUGAGGAAUAUUGGUCAAUGGGCGCGAGCCUGAACCAGCCAAGUCGCGUGAGGGAGGACGGCCCUACGGGUUGUAAACCUCUUUUGCCGGGGAGCAACGUGCGUCACGUGUGGCGCCCCUGAGAGUACCCGGAGACAAAGCAUCGGCUAACUCCGUGCCAGCAGCCGCGGUAAUACGGAGGAUGCGAGCGUUAUCCGGAUUUAUUGGGUUUAAAGGGUGCGUAGGCGGAUCGUUAAGUCAGUGGUCAAAUUGAGGGGCUCAACCCCUUCCCGCCAUUGAAACUGGCGCUCUUGAGUGGAAGAGAAGUAUGCGGAAUGCGUGGUGUAGCGGUGAAAUGCAUAGAUAUCACGCAGAACCCCGAUUGCGAAGGCAGCAUGCCGGCUUCCGACUGACGCUGAAGCACGAAAGCGUGGGGAUCGAACAGGAUUAGAUACCCCGGUAGUC
rnacentral:rRNA from 1 species